rnacentral:lncRNA from 1 species
AUCAAUCAUAAUCAUCAUCAUGUACAAAGAUCCAUAUUCUUUGCAAUAUUAACCUUCGUUUAAAGAGGUUUUCUCUUGGAAAAUACUUUAAUCUCUCUGCCGCCAACUCGAAUUAGAAGCCAAAGUGUUUGCGCUCUCUGCGAUGUACCUUGUAUCAUUCCGCUGCGGUUUUCACCGCCGAUUAGAAAACAAGAGUGUCAGAAUCCUAGCUUCGUCAAACAAGUGUGGUAACACGAGGAAGACUAUUUCGGGGUUAAUUCUAGGAAAAUUUGUUUUGGUGAAUUGGCUAUAACGUUUUAAGUUACUUGACGGAGAGUAUGGUUAAUUUAAACAGUCGUCUUUCAAUGUAUGCGCCGUAAUGAGUUCUGGCCACGACCUAGCC